rnacentral:rRNA from 1 species
AACGAACGCUGGCGGCAUGCCUAACACAUGCCAGUCGAACGAUGCCUUCGGGCAUAGUGGCGCACGGGUGCGUAACGCGUGGGAAUCUGCCUUUCGGUUCGGAAUAACUCAGGGAAACUUGAGCUAAUACCGGAUAACGUCGCAAGACCAAAGAUUUAUCACCGAAAGAUGAGCCCGCGUAGGAUUAGCUAGUUGGUGAGGUAAAGGCUCACCAAGGCGACGAUCCUUAGCUGGUCUGAGAGGAUGGUCAGCCACACUGGGACUGAGACACGGCCCAGACUCCUACGGGAGGCAGCAGUGGGGAAUAUUGGACAAUGGGCGAAAGCCUGAUCCAGCAAUGCCGCGUGAGUGAUGAAGGCCUUAGGGUUGUAAAGCUCUUUUACCCGGGAAGAUAAUGACGGUACCGGGAGAAUAAGCCCCGGCUAACUCCGUG